rnacentral:lncRNA from 1 species
AAAUAAACUUUAAGUUAACAUUCAAAAUUAAAAUUAAAAUAAAAAUUAGAAAAAAACUAAGGAAAUUUUGUAAGGAUGUCAGGCCAUGAAAAGAUAUAGGUCUGUUUACAAGUAUAUAUAGAUAAUUAAUGUUAUUAAAGUAUUGUUGUAUUUUACAAUUUGUGAAUAUAUUUCAACUUUUAAAAAUCCAUAGAACCCUUAUUGGUUAGUUGCAACACCAUGUAAUUUAAGAAACAAUAAUUUACGC